UGGAAUAAUAACAUUAAGUGUCAUAGAUGGUGUACCUAAUAUUUUUUUCCCCCUACAGAAACACCUGUGGCAGUUCAAAUGUUACAUUUUUUCUACGUGUUGAGUUUGCAAGUGCAGAAGAAAGAGAUACAUUUUUAGACCAAAAUUAGACUACGUGAAAUGGAGUCCUGCAUCCCUGAAAAUGAGACACAGUUCUGUUGAAUUCUGUUGAUCUUUCUUCCCAAGAUCAUGCAUUAACAGCAUUCUGGCAGGAAUAAGGGACUUCUGACACUCCCAGCUGAAGUACAAGAAAAGGACUUUUCCCUGCAUUUUAGAAACCAAAGUGAAGGGGUGGACAUAUGGAUGCUUGGAUACCUGUCUAAUACAGCAUCAAGACAGAGCUGAAGCUUAUACCCAAACCUGGUUAAUUAACUUUAUGGUUCUCAUUACCUGAAUCAAAAAAUAGCUUUAAGAUGGCUGCAUGGAUACUCCUCU